rnacentral:rRNA from 1 species
UUGUCUGACGCUAAGGCUCGAAAGCGUGGGUAGCAAAACGGAUUAGAUACCCGUGUAGUCCACGCUGUAAACUAUGGAUGCUAGGUGUUUGGUAUGACUACUUUCAAUCUUCGGAUUCUAAAUGGAAGUACUGAGUGCCGCAGCUAACGCGUUAAGCAUCCCGCCUGGGAAGUACGGCCGCAAGGCUAAAACUCAAAUGAAUUGGCGGGGACCCGCACAAGCGGAGGAGCGCGUGGUUUAAUUCGAUGGCAAUCGAAGAACCUUACCAGGGUUUGACAUGUAUCUGCAUAUCUUUGGAAACAUAGAUAGCCUUCGAGGGUGAUACACAGGUACUGCAUGGCCGUCGUCAGCUCGUGUCGUGAGAUGUAGGGUUAAGUCCCGAAACGAGCGCAACCCCUAUCCCAUGUUACAAGUGUCUUGGGAAACUGCCUCGGUAAAACGGGGAGGAAGGUGGGGAUGACGUCUGGUCCGCAUAGUCCUUAUGUCCUGGGCUACACACGCGCUACAAUGGUCGGUACAAUAGGCAGCCAAGCCGUAAGGCGGAGCUAAUCCUAAAAACCGAUCUCAGUUCGGAUUGUGGGCUGCAACUCGCCCACAUGAAGUUGGAUUCGCUAGUAAUCGUGGAUCAGCCAUGCCACGGUGAAUACGUUCUCGGGUCUUGCACACACCGCCCGUCAAGCCAUGGAAGUAGGUGAUACCCGAAGGUGUCUUGCUGUUUACAGUGGGAUGACGAAGGUAACGCUUAUGACUGGGGUUAAGUCGUAACAAGGUAGCCGUAGGGGAAUCUGCGGCUG